rnacentral:rRNA from 1 species
AGCGGCGGACGGGUGAGUAACGCGUGGGUAACCUGCCUCAUACAGGGGGAUAACGGUUAGAAAUGACUGCUAAUACCGCAUAAGCGCACAGUACCGCAUGGUACGGUGUGAAAAACUCCGGUGGUAUGAGAUGGACCCGCGUCUGAUUAGUUAGUUGGUGGGGUAACGGCCCACCAAGGCGACGAUCAGUAGCCGACCUGAGAGGGUGACCGGCCACAUUGGGACUGAGACACGGCCCAG